rnacentral:tmRNA from 1 species
GGGGGCGAACAGGGUUCGACGUUUCUACUGGACUCCGAAGCGCAUGCCAAGAUUGUGGUAAUUCUUGUAAAACAUACUACAAAAAAUUUAGUUGCAAAUAACGACAACUACGCUUUAGCAGCUUAAUGCUAACCGAUACCAAAAUUGACUAUGGUUUGAAGUAUCGGCAAAUAUCAUAGUCUAGCCAAGCUGUGUUGCUUGGACACAGUUUGGUUAAAACUAAUCAAGCUCGCUUUAGUACCCUGCUCCUCGG